rnacentral:lncRNA from 1 species
GGCGGGGCCAUCGGCGUGCCUAAGAGCUGCCCUCCGAUGUCGCUCUUCCUUUCCCGUGCGACCGGCGAGGGAGGAAGAAGCGCGAAGAACCGUCUGUCAUGCUGGUGUGGUGGCGGCGGCGGAGCCUGCGGGCCCGUAGCUGUGCUCUGCGAGGUGCAAGAAAGCCUUUGCGGUGAAAGUGUAUGAAGGUCAUCAUGACAGAUGUUUUCCAAAAACUUGUAGAAGGCUGUGAAAAAACUACUAGGAUCACACGUCAUGUAUUGAGGUGUGGCAUGCAACAUUUUGGAAGGAAAAUUGAAGACUUGUUCAAGAAAACACGAACAGAAGCAAAUGAUGAAAAUGAUCAUUUUACUUGAUGUUGAUAACAUCACAAUAAAUUAUGGAGAAAAAUACA